ensembl:lncRNA
AAUUUUGCAUGCACGGUUGCCUGCUUUCAGGAGGGGUGUGCUUGCCCUGUGUAUGAUAACCUUGCUGUGGGUGUAUAUUUUAAAAUCAUCUCAUGCAGAGAAAGGGAGACAGCAGGAGGAUGUAUCUUGACUUUCAGCCUUUGAGGUCUUCUACACAGCACUCUCUUGAGGAAGACUUGUACAGAUGAUGUUUAUGGCAGAUUCACAGCCAUCUACAACUAUAACUGAACGAGAUGAACAUCAGCUUUGCUUCGGCUUCAGCUUUACAAUCAGAAGACUGCUAUGCUGACGUGGAGCUCUGAGCUGCUAGUUCAGGUCUGAGGGACUGAUUUGACCAUCUGGGAAGAACUAGACAGGGAACUGUAACAAUUAUUACUUCACAUUUUCUGCAUAAAUUGAUCUCCGAGUAUGAGCUGAGAAAAUACUUUAUUUCUCGUUUUUUAAAAAACAGAGUAAUACAGAUUUGUCUCUAAUAGUUGCAUAUCCCUUUGAUGUCUUUAUGGAAAGGCAAAAGUACCACAAAGCAAUCAGCUGUUAAUACGGCAUUCUCUUUUUUCCAAUUAUACAUUCUUAAAACAUUCCAUAUACAAAGACUCGAUUCCUAUUCAUCACCGGCCUUGAACAGGAAUGAUUCCCCAACAUCACUGACAAAAGACUGGUUCAGCAGAGAUGCAAAGUAAGCCUAAUGUGUCAGAGUGCCUACUUAUACUGCAUGUUAUAUAUGCAGGGCAGAGGAAAUGAUGAGAGAACAUGAAUUUACAAGCCAGCAAUGGUUGUUGAAAAGCUUUGAAAAUUAAUUGGGGACGAAAGUUUGGUGAACUUCCAUAAUCACAGAAUUUCUCUAACCUACUUUUGUAGUAGACUUGCUUUAUAGUGCUUAAAUCUUGACUCUCAUCCAGGAUGAAAAGGAAAAAGGGAAAGUAAUUCCACCAAAUCACAUGUGGUAUAACCUACUUGAAAGCUAACAAAGUACUUUCCAAAUGGAAGUCUCCAACAUGUUAUCUCCUCUUGCUCUUCUCCACUUGUGAAAAUAUCUACACAUGCACUGAAACACAGCAAAAUACCUUUAUUCCUUAUUUAAAUAAUUUCUGGUUCUGCUAGUGUGAUUAUAUAUUUAUAUUUGUUCUUUUUCUCAGUUAAACCUUAGUCUAUGAGGUGAGUUUCUAUUUCUAUGUUUCUCCCUGCAAUCCAAGCUGAGACAUGUGGCAAGUGAAAAGGGAACCAAGCUUAUUUAAAAAAAAGAAAGAAAGAAAGAAAGAAAAAAAAAAACAAAAGGGGAAAAGCAAAAAGAAGGUCAAAUAUCUAGAUCUUUUUCUUACAGUAGAAAUCUUGAACUGUAGGUGAUUCAAAUGACACAGGUCCAGGACAAAUGUUAAUGGUUCUAUUCACCUUCAUCAUGAUUUGGAGACCAAUAAAGCAGCAUCU